rnacentral:rRNA from 1 species
ACGAACGCUGGCGGCGUGCUUAACCCAUGCAAGUCGAACGGAAAGGCCCUGCCUUUGUGGGGUGCUCGCGUGGCGAACGGGUGAGUAACACGUGAGUAACCUGCCCUUGACUUUGGGUUAACUUCAGGAAACUGGGGCUAUUACCGGAUAGGAGCUCCUGCUGCAUGGUGGGGGUUGGAAAGUUUCGGCGGUUGGGGAUGGGCUCGCGGCUUAUCAGCUUGUUGGUGGGGUAGUGGCUUACCAGGGCUUCGACGGGUAGCCGGCCUGAGAGGGUAACCGGCCACAUUGGGACUGAUAUACGGCCCAGACUCCUACGGGGGACAGCAGUGGGGAAUAUUGCACAAUGGGCGGAAGCCUGAUGCAGCAACGCCGCGGGCGGGAUGACGGCCUUCGUGUUGUAAACCGCUUGCGCCUGUGGCGAAGCUUGGGGGACGGUAAUGGGGAAGGAAGCACCGGCUAACUACGU